CUUGAUGGAGCCGAGCCACAGGGGCUGUUCGUCGGGGCGGUCCUGGCCGUACGUGGCGAGGAGUGCCUGGGCCUC
rnacentral:antisense_RNA from 1 species